UGAGCAGCGAUGAACGAACAGUAUGAUGUAUUCUGUUUACCCAGAGUUUAGAAUGACCCAGGGUUAAAAAUUGUGAUAAAGCCCGAGAGAGAGUAGGCUACGCGAUUUUGGUUCCAGCCGUCAACGUGCAUAUUCCGUUAAUUAAACCGCUGUUUUAAGUGAUUCAUCAAAAGAACCAACUCAUGAGAGUCAUUUGCUUGGGAACUGUACUUGCACUGGUAGGCUACCUAUAUUUGAUUCACAAAAAGAGUCGAUUUAUUAGUUUGAUAAUCGGACUAAAUUGACCGGGUUGUAUGUUUUCGUUUCUCACACACACACACACACACACACACACACACACACACACAGACACACACACACACAAAAAAGAGUCGUAAAGUCAUUACUUUAGUUGCGUUUGACUGACUAAAAAGCAACCAGUUCAGAGGAGUCAUUCGUUGAGGAGUCAGGCUACACUGAUCCAGUUGCACCCCCCCCCCCCAGUCUCUCUCUCUCUCUCUCUCUCGCUCUCUCUCUCUCUCACACACACACACUCUCACAUGGACACACUCUCUCUCUCUCGCUCUCUCGCGCGCGCGCGCGCGCCAGCUCCGUCCGUAUCUCCGUCGGUCUGAGUCCUCAGCGCUGGCAAGGGAUAACAAACUGCUUUUCCGCAGCAAUACGUGGUCAACGGAACAGCCCACAGAGUUUAGACAGAAUCACUGCAUCUCAAGGUUCUCCACUGAGCAGAUGCCUGCAAGCUCCACCAACUUAUCAGUGGACAUUCACAGAAGAUUUGGGUGUUUUGAAGGCAGGGUCUUCCCUGGUUGGUUGUGAAGAUCUAAGUAAACAAAGCUUGUUACUGUGGCAUAACUGGCCUUUGGAUCUGAAAAGUGGCAGCAGAGUCCUAUUGAAACAAGAAGCCUCCAGAACCAUCCAAAAUAUCCUAUAAAGAUGGAAUUCAAAUUAAAACCUUGAAUGCUGAUUUAUUAGAGUGAAAAGUGAAAGAGCGGUUCUUGGGAGGGUAGGUGGCUGGAGCUGUGCCAGUCACGACUGGAAGGAGGAGAGAGUGAGCGAUAGAUAAGACGAGGAAGGAAAGAGCAAGGCUCCUUACAUUGCACUCCUUCCACUCUGCUGAUGCAUAGAAAAUGGUGGGUUGACGCACACACCGCCUCACACAGUGAGAGAUAAGCCUGCAUGGACUCAUUAUAAAGCAACAAGACCACACACCAUUAUAGUGUUUAUGUACUAUUUUAUUGA
ensembl:lncRNA